rnacentral:rRNA from 1 species
UAACAAGGAUUCCCCUAGUAACUGCGAGUGAAGCGGGAAAAGCUCAAAUUUAAAAUCUGGCGGUUUCACCGUCCGAGUUGUAAUCUGGAGAAGCGUUUUCCGUGUCGGACCGUGCACAAGUCUCUUGGAACAGAGCGUCAUAGAGGGUGAGAAUCCCGUUUUAUGGCACGGACACCCGAUACUUUGUGAUACGUUUUCUAAGAGUCGAGUUGUUUGGGAAUGCAGCUCAAAAUGGGUGGUAAAUUCCAUCUAAAGCUAAAUAUAGGCGAGAGACCGAUAGCGAACAAGUACCGUGAGGGAAAGAUGAAAAGCACUUUGGAAAGAGAGUUAAACAGUACGUGAAAUUGUUGAAAGGGAAACGCUUGAAGUCAGUCGCGUCUUCUAGGACUCAGCCUUACUUCGGUUAGGUGUACUUCCUGGUUUGACGGGUCAACAUCGAUUUUGAUCGACGGAUAAAGGAGAAGGGAACGUGGCACCUCCGGGUGUGUUAUAGCCCUCUUCGUAUACGUCGAUUGGGAUCGAGGACUGCAGCACGCCCUUGUGGCCGGGGGUUCGCCCUACGUAUCGUGCUUAGGAUGUUGACAUAAUGGCUUUAAGCGACCCGUCUUGAAACACGGACCAAGGAGUCUAACAUGCUCGCGAGUGUUAGGGUGGAAAACCCUUGCGCGUAAUGAAAGUGAAAGUUGGGACCUCUGCGAGGAGGGCACCGACGCCCGGCCCUGAAGUUCUCUGACGGUGCUGCGGUAGAGCGCGUAUGUUGGGACCCGAAAGAUGGUGAACUAUGCCUGAAUAGGGCGAAGCCAGAGGAAACUCUGGUGGAGGCUCGUAGCGAUUCUGACGUGCAAAUCGAUCGUCAAAUUUGGGUAU